GGUUAAGCGACUAAGCGUACACGGUGGAUGCCCUGGCAGUCAGAGGCGAUGAAGGACGUGCUAAUCUGCGAUAAGCGUCGGUAAGGUGAUAUGAACCGUUAUAACCGGCGAUUUCCGAAUGGGGAAACCCAGUGUGAUUCGUCACACUAUCAUUAACUGAAUCCAUAGGUUAAUGAGGCGAACCGGGGGAACUGAAACAUCUAAGUACCCCGAGGAAAAGAAAUCAACCGAGAUUCCCCCAGUAGCGGCGAGCGAACGGGGAGCAGCCCAGAGCCUGAAUCAGUGUGUGUGUUAGUGGAAGCGUCUGGAAAGGCGCGCGAUACAGGGUGACAGCCCCGUACACAAAAAUGCACAUAUUGUGAGCUCGA
rnacentral:rRNA from 1 species